rnacentral:rRNA from 1 species
CCCUUAGAUGUUCUGGGCGGCCCGCGCACUACAAUGGCGCUUUCAGCGAGUUCCUAUGUUGAAUUUUCCUGGGUAUUCUUGGAAGCGGCGUCUUGACUUGGGAUAGAUCCUUGUAAUUGUUGGUUUUGAACGAGGAAUUCCUUGUAAUCGCGGUUGAUCAGCUCGCGUUGAAUACGUCCCUGCCCUUUGUACACACCGCCCGUCGCUCCUACCGAUGAAUCGUCCGGUGAAGUUCAUGGAGUGGUGGUUGUUCCAGCUGCUGUCGAAGUGAAAUGGACCUCACGAUUUAGAGGAAGGAGAAGUCGUAACA